rnacentral:misc_RNA from 1 species
ACAUUGAACAUUUCUUCGAAGUUUCGCGGUUGUUUACAAACGCUCAAGAGUUGAAAAAUGCCUGUACUUGUGGUCAGAAUAAGUGACCAGGAAGGUACUGACUUAUUAGCAAAUACAGUCACCAACUUUUCGGGGGGUAAAUUCUACGAUGAAAAGUGUGUGGAAUCGAAAGACAUUAUCUUGUCUGUUGAUUCAAUUGUGGAAGUUCGUCUGCGUGAAGGACAAAAUGCCCAAUUCAUCAUCGCAGAUAAUGCUGAUAUGGACGUUUCAGAAAUAACCUCUACACUUAAUUACCUUCUUGGCAGACCAUGGAAAGAGUAGUCACUACAUGUUCCAGUUGAAAAAGUGCAAUAACUGUGCCUAUUGCACAGUUAUUAACCCCCCAAGGCUUCCUGUUGCUGAAUUCCAGAGUUUGCAUUUUCUGCCGGACCCUGUUCCUGGAGGAGAUGGCCAUUAUCAAGCCUUUGACGAGGUGUAUGGACAAGUAACAGGCGAAACAUACAGGCCGAGUGCUCAAGUACAAGAUGAUCCUGCCACUGCCAACCACAGGCUUAACCGAGAUACAUUUAAGACCCAAAAAGUUCGUGAUGUUAUAAAUUUAUUGUAUGUGGAGAGUGCUCAAAACCAAGAUGUGUCUACAGUGAUAAAAAGCUUACCCGUGAACAAGAGGAACUGUUGCUGCGUUUAAAGGAGGAUCAUGUUUACACAUGUGGAGACCCCAUGGUAGCAGAGGCUGUGGAAGAUCCAGGCAUGGUUGGUCGUGAGGCCAUAAACUGCACAACAGAAGUGGAAACAAGUUAUUUCUCAACCUCCUUAAACCACUACUUACCUCCAGUUUGUGUUCACUGCGGAAGUGUUGACAGUCUUUUAGAUGAUACAGACCCUUACAUUUCUGGCUUAUUUGAGCAAUAUUCUAUUGUUAGACCCAUAUGCCAGAUUUGUAAAAAUAAUGGCAAAGAUGCAAGAACAUGGUGGGGGGGGGGGGGGGGGGGGGGGGAAAUUUCUGCCCAAGAGGUGCAGAAGAUAAACUGUUGAAUGUUGUUCAUGAUGAAGUGAAAUUGUAACAACUAGAACAGUGUGCAUUCUUUGCUAACAAUUGAUUUCAUUAUUUUGUCCGAAGGUAAAAGCUGUUCAUAUUGUAUACAUGUGCCCAAAAUACAUAAUUUGCACCAUUAUUGUUAUAUAAUUCCAGUUUUGACUUAUAGGGUGUGAAAGUAUAAUCUGAGACAUUGCACAGUGGUUUUAGUACAGUGAAAUAAUGAUUUUUACAUGUAUUUCAAAGAAAAUAAUGAUAUUUUAAAAUAAAAUGUAAUCGCUCGCCUCU